GCCAUCCACGACACACUUGGAAAACCAGCGAAAUAAACUCUGAUGGACCACCUAGCCUGCAUGACGCUGUUCAAGCUCAGAAGGGUGCAAAGUUACAGGGUGUUCCCAGCACCACAGGAUUCCCCCAACACUAACCUCAGUCAGAUGUUUACGGCCAAGCAAAUGGAAAUGGAGAUUUAAGGAGUGGGGGCAGAGAUGGGAGUCAGACGAAUUUCACGGUGUCCUGGGCAAAGAGAAAGACAAACCCCUUUGCCCCUAAUAAUUAAAAGCUUCUCGGAGGAGCCACUUUCUGGCCGGAGCAGGAGGUGUGCAAGGGACUGAGAUCACUCAUCCUGGAGUAAGACAGCUGCCAUGUCAUGAGGACACUCAAGCAACCCUAAGGAGAGAUCCACGUGGCAAGGAAAUGAGGCCUCCUCCCUACAGCCACAUGAGUGAGUCAUCUCAGAAGUGGAUUUCCAGCUCUAGUCAAGCUUCAAAAGACUACAGCCCUGCAGCCCCAGGCAGCAUUUUAACUACAAUCUCAUGAGAGAUCCUGAGCCAGAACUACCGACCUAAGCCAGUUCCAAACUCUUGACCUGCAGAAACUAUGUGAGAUAAUAUUUAAUGUUGUUUUAAGUCACUGUGUUCAGAGUAAUUUGUUAUGCAACAAUAGAUAACCAAUACAUCCACUAUAUGUCUGUCGAUGGGCAUUUAAGUUGCUUCCAUGACCUGGCUAUUGUAAAUAGUGCUGCAGUGAACAUUGGGGUGCAUGUGUCUUUUUGAAGUAUGGUUUUCUCUGGGUAUAUGCCCAGUAGUGAGAUUGCUGGGUCAUGUGGUAAUUCUAUUUUUAGUUUUUUAAGGAACCUCCAUACUGUUCUCCAUAGUGGCUGUAUCAAUUUACAUUCCCACCAAUAGUGCAAGAGGGUUCCCUUUUCUCCACACCCUCUCCAGCAUCUGUUGUUUGUAGAUUUUCUGAUGACGAAUGGAUAAAGAAGAUGUGGUACAUAUAUACAAUGGACUAUUACUCAGCCAUAAAAAGGAGUGAAAUUGGAUCAUUUGUAGAGAUGUGGAUGGAUCUAGAGACUCUCAUAUAGAGUGAAGUAAGUCAGAAAGAGAAAAACAAAUAUCGUAUAUUAAGGCAUAUAUGUGGAAUCUAGAAAAAUGGUACAGAUGAACUGGUUUGCAGGGCAGAAAUAGAGACACCGAUGUAGAGAAGGAACGAAUGGACACCAA